rnacentral:lncRNA from 1 species
GCACUAUAAUGUCGUAAUAUGAGUUACAAAACGACUCUCCAGGGAGAAAAUGUACGGCUGAAAGGAGACUUUACUAUAAGAUGUAGGGAUAACUGGGGAAGAAAGUUUUGGACCAUGAUAAAAUGUUGUUUUUGAUACCUUCUUUUAUCCUAUUGAUAUAGUAAAACAUAAUUCUACCGUAGUCUAAUAAUUGACCCCGAUACUUCUCAAGGGUGCUUGUCUUGCCUGUGUAGUAGUCAAAACUUCAGUGUGCAUCGGUUAUUUGUACCGAGAUUCGUUUAAAUCAGCACGGUGUUAUAAUGAAAAAAUAAGGCAUGGUGUGUAUCAUGGAGAUUGGGAACAAGAUUAUUGUUCGGUGAAAUAGAGCGAUUUUUACUUCUCGGAUCGUAAGUUGCCGUAAGAAAUUGGAGGCUUAAUGGGUUAAGAUACAUGAAUACAGGUUUAAUAAUGCCUAAGCUGACAUUCAUUUUCUCGUCCAUCAAUUCAAUACAGAUUUGAGCUUAUUGUGGUUUGAAUAUAUAAUUAAGAGAAAGAAAACGAUCUAAAAGACAAUGGAAGUUGUCUCUGUGUGACAGAGUACUCGGAAUUUUUAAAAUAAACGAGAUGCUUGUUGAAGUUAAUCUGUAGUAUAAUAUGUUUAUUUAGUCAUAUAUACAAGUCUUCUACAUAACCUUACUUCACAUAACAAUAGGAAAAAGUUAGUACGAAUAUACAGGGAUAGCUUUUUUUAAUGCCUCUUCCUAUUGAGAUUCCAAUUACCAUACAUUGGUAUAUUCAAGACUUUAUAAAUUGAAUGCGAAAUUGCAGAAAUUUGCAAUUUUAGUCAUAUGUAUGUCACUUAAUGACAUUGUGGGUUACAUCGUGUGUUAAUUUCAAAAUCAAACAGGAAUAAAAUAUUUUUUUAAUGAAACUAUUUAAAUUGCAAUGGUUGAAAUAUAAGCUAGAUUUACAACGAACAGUAAUUUACCUGAUGGUUAG